rnacentral:rRNA from 1 species
AGCGAACGCUGGCGGCAGGCUUAACACAUGCAAGUCGAGUGCCCCGCAAGGGGAGCGGCAGACGGGAGAGUAACACGUGGGAACAUACCUUUUGGUUCGGAACAACUGAGGGAAACUUCAGCUAAUACCGGAUAAGCCCUUACGGGGAAAGAUUUAUCGCCGAAAGAUUGGCCCGCGUCUGAUUAGCUAGUUGGUGAGGUAACGGCUCACCAAGGCGACGAUCAGUAGCUGGUUUGAGAGGAUGAUCAGCCUCACUGGGACUGAGACACGGCCCAGACUCCUACGGGAGGCAGCAGUGGGGAAUAUUGGACAAUGGGGGCAACCCUGAUCCAGCCAUGCCGCGUGAGUGAUGAAGGCCUUAGGGUUGUAAAGCUCUUUUGCCCGGGAAGAUAAUGACGGUACCGGAAGAAUAAGCCCCGGCUAACUUCGUG